rnacentral:miRNA from 11 species
AUUCUCCAUUACUCCUUUGACGG